rnacentral:rRNA from 1 species
AUUGAACGCUGGCGGCAGGCCUAACACAUGCAAGUCGAGCGGAUGAAGGGAGCUUGCUCCUGGAUUCAGCGGCGGACGGGUGAGUAAUGCCUAGGAAUCUGCCUGGUAGCGGGGGAUAACGUCCGGAAACGGGCGCUAAUACCGCAUACGUCCUGAGGGAGAAAGUGGGGGAUCUUCGGACCUCACGCUCUCAGAUGAGCCUAGGUCGGAUUAGCUAGUUGGUGGGGUAAAGGCCUACCAAGGCGACGAUCCGUAACUGGUCUGAGAGGAUGAUCAGUCACACUGGAACUGAGACACGGUCCAGACUCCUACGGGAGGCAGCAGUGGGGAAUAUUGGACAAUGGGCGAAAGCCUGAUCCAGCCAUGCCGCGUGUGUGAAGAAGGUCUUCGGAUUGUAAAGCACUUUAAGUUGGGAGGAAGGGCAGUAAGUUAAUACCUUGCUGUUUUGACGUUACCAACAGAAUAAGCACCGGCUAACUUCGUG